rnacentral:hammerhead_ribozyme from 1 species
AACUAGUCGGGAGCUGAUGUCACUCUCCUGAUGAGGUCAUGGCAGGCCAAAACCAGUG